rnacentral:rRNA from 1 species
GAUGAACGCUAGCGACAGGCCUAACACAUGCAAGUCGAGGGGCAUCGGGACGUAGCAAUACGUUGCCGGCGACCGGCGGAUGGGUGAGUAACGCGUAUGCAACCUACCCGUAGCAGGGGGAUAGCCCGUUGAAAGACGGAUUAAUACCCCGUAACACAGGGGCUCCGCAUGGAGAUUAUUGUUAAAGGGUCAUUUCUUUUUCAGGGAUGGUCCGGCUGCGGAUGGGCAUGCGUUCCAUUAGGUAGUUGGUGUAGGUAACUGCUCACCAAGCCGACGAUGGAUAGGGGAACUGAGAGGUUGGUCCCCCACACUGGUACUGAGACACGGACCAGACUCCUACGGGAGGCAGCAGUGAGGAAUUUUGGUCAAUGGACGCAAGUCUGAACCAGCCAUGUCGCGUGAAGGAGGACGGCCCUAAGGGUUGUAAACUUCUUUUGCAGUGGAAUAAAGUUUGCCACGUGUUGGCGAUUUGCAAGUACGCUGCGAAUAAGGAUCGGCUAACUCCGUGCCAGC